rnacentral:rRNA from 1 species
GCUCGUACUCCCCGAAAUGCUUUUAGGAGCAGCGUGGAGGUAAAGUCUGUUAGAGGUAGAGCUACCGAUAGGACUAGGGGGAGUCAAAUCCUACCAAAUCCUGACGAACUCCGAAUGCUAACAGAUAUACUCUGCAGUGAGGGUAAGGGUGCUAAGGUCCUUAUCCGAGAGGGAAAGAACCCAGACCAUCAGCUAAGGUCCCCAAAUGUAUGUUAAGUUGAAUAAACGAGGUUGAACUGCUUAGACAGC